GGCCAUUUCAGCGGCACAUAUACUAAAAAUUAGAGCAACACAAAGAAGACUAGCAAGACCCCUGUGCGGGGAUGACAACCUAAUCCAUAAAGCAUUCCAUACUUUU